UGAGGGAAUAUUGGGUCAAUGGACGCAAGUCUGAACCAGCCAUGCCGCGUGAAGGAAUAAGGCCCUAUGGGUCGUAAACUUCUUUUGUAUGUGAGCAAUAAGGUCCACGUGUGGACCGAUGAGAGUAGCAUACGAAUAAGCAUCGGCUAACUCCGUGCCAGCAGCCACGGUAAUACGGAGGAUGCAAGCGUUAUCCGGAUUCAUUGGGUUUAAAGGGUGCGUAGGCGGAUUAUUAAGUCAGCGGUGAAAGCGUGUGGCUCAACCAUACAGUUGCCGUUGAUACUGGUAGUCUUGAGUGUAAACGAGGUAGGCGGAAUGUGAUGUGUAGCGGUGAAAUGCUUAGAUAUGUCACAGAACCCCGAUUGCGAAGGCAGCUUACCAGGAUACGACUGACGCUGAGGCACGAAAGCGUGGG
rnacentral:rRNA from 1 species